CUACGUGCCAGCAGCCGCGGUAAUACGGAAGGUCCAGGCGUUAUCCGGAUUUAUUGGGUUUAAAGGGAGCGUAGGCUGGAGAUUAAGUGUGUUGUGAAAUGUAGACGCUCAACGUCUGAAUUGCAGCGCAUACUGGUUUCCUUGAGUACGCACAACGUUGGCGGAAUUCGUCGUGUAGCGGUGAAAUGCUUAGAUAUGACGAAGAACUCCGAUUGCGAAGGCAGCUGACGGGAGCGCAACUGACGCUUAAGCUCGAAGGUGCGGGUAUCAAACAGGAUUAGAUACCCUGGUAGUCCGCACAGUAAACGAUGGAUGCCCGCUGUUGGUACCUGGUAUCAGCGGCUAAGCGAAAGCAUUAAGCAUCCCACCUGGGGAGUACGCCGGCAACGGUGAAACUCAAAGGAAUUGACGGGGGCCCGCACAAGCGGAG
rnacentral:rRNA from 1 species